CGUCGGAUAAAUUUAAAAUUAUGCCAAAUAGUUGUAAAUUUAUAAUAAUACAUAACUUUAAUCCGGUAAAAAGCGUUUUUCUUUAAAUAAUAUGCUCACAAGUAAUAAGUGGCCAAUUUACAAUAGCCCUUAUAACUCUUUACUGAACUACUUAAAUAUUCAAUGUAAUUUAGACUCUGUUAAAAAUAAGUUUGAGUUUUUACUAUUUCUAAGUGAUAAAUCAGAGUUUUAUAUUAUAUAUACUGAUGGUUCCAAAUGUGAGACUGUUAAGGCAGCAUUCUAUGACCCACAAAUGAAAUUAACUAAAUGCUUGAGAUUACCUAUAACUUGUAGUAUAUUCACUGCUGAGGCUUGGGCAAUAUUAGCUGCUUUAACAUAUGUAAAUAGUAAUGUAAAUAUUUUGGUUGUAAGUGAUUCUAAGAGUGUUUUAACAGCAUUGGGUAAUUGUAGGAUAUAAACAGAAUUAUAUUGUAUAUAAAAUUAAGGAUUUACUGUACAAUUUAGAAAAGCAUGUAGAAUUUGUAUGGGUACCCUCCCACAGUGGUAUAACUGGCAAUGAGGUUGUGGACGAGGCGACUCGUCGGGACCAUGACGAUGAUUUAACAGACUCUUUCAAAGUGCCUUUCACAGACUAUUAUACGCAGAUAAAGAUUCAUCUCAAGAGAAGAUGGAAAGAAUAUUGGAACUACAAUACAGAGGUAUUAAAUAAAGGACAAUGGUACUCAGAAAUACAGAGAGAUUUACCAAUGAUCCCGUGGUAUAACAGCUUCAAAUACAUUAAUAGGAUGUUCAUAACGUGCAUUAAUCGCUUACGUGUAGGACACUGCUGUGUUCCAGCACAUCUCAAGAGGAAGAAAAUCAUUCUUGAUGAUAAUUGUACAUAUUGUUCAAAGGAAAAUGCCGAUAUAAAGCAUGUCUUGUUUGAAUGCGAAACGUUUAACAUCCAACGUUUAUUACUUGCAAGUGUCAUUAGUGAUGUCGCAGAAGAAAAUUCAUUAAGUGUUCCCCGCCGCCCUCAAGAUUUACUAUCUUAUCGUGCUUUUUUCUUACCUGUGUUUAAAUUUAUUUCAAACACAGUUGAACAAAUUUAAUUACAUAGAGUUAGUUGAAAUAUUUCCAAUUGUAUAGAAUAGUUUUGUGUUAAGUUAUUUAGUUUUAAUAUAUUAUACUUAAUUUGGAAUUUGGAUAUAAUUACAAUUUGUAUUAACGUAAUUACUUAAGAAUGUUUAUGCUAAUAUUAUAUUUAUUAUUUAUGGUAUGGCACGUUACCAUUACAUACUUUUAAGGACCUUAUGUAAUUCUAUGAUUCCGACUGAAAGACUCUGUAUCCAUGGUUAUGAAAUAAAUUAUUUAAAAAAAAAAUCUAUAGGCAAUAAGUAGUUUGAAUGUACUUCUCACAGGGUUGUUAAUAAAUUCAUUGACCCAUAGCUGUCGCAGGUAAAAUACAUCUUGUACCGGUAUGUGGGGGAGGGGCAAAUUCUGCAUACAAUCAAAGCAAACAUACAACCAACCAUGUCAUCUCUUUGUUGACACAAAUCUUUAGUGUUCUUUAUAGUAGUAUAAAAUUUGUUUGCUCGUGCUUUAUGCACUUUCAAGUCUAUUUCGGCUUGCUUUUUCACACUCUCACUCACAUGAGAGUUUGAUAUAGUGACAUUCAGCUGUUCACAUGUUAUACAGGUAUCUACCUGUGGUCGACCAAAUUGAAGAUCAAAAUGCUGUUUGAAAAUAGAGUAGUACAGGUUGUACGUAACAUUCAUUCCAGGAUAGUUAGUCUUGAAAGCAGUAUGCAUCUAUUUUAUUGUCAGCCUAGGAUCCAAAUAAGUAUAUGUCUCGUUUGAGUAGUGGCUUUCAUGAGUAGGGUAACAUUUUAUGUGUUCUUUUAUCUUUUGUCACCUUUAUGUCAUAGGUAUUCAAAAAUGUAGCCUUGCAAACCUUAUGCUUCACUCCAUUAGCAGCAGGUAAAUGAUACACAAAUGAGGCAGACCGAGGUUUCGGUUUCUGUGAGUUGUCACGCGGUUGGUGUCUCAUGAUUUCAGCUUUCGUGAUUAAUCCCAUCAAAUGAACAUCUUGUUCAAUGCUCGUUUCAUAUGAAUAGUAUUUCACAAACUCCUCCGAAUCUUGAUUAUCCAAUGUUAGUUUUGAAGAGCACUUGUAUUUACAACCAGUAGAACAAAAUCCUUUUGCUGUACGUCUUGGCACACUGCGUCCUUAUGAUGAGGUGUAUUCCAUUCCGUAUUCACAGUAUGUGAAUACAGUUCCGUUCCUUUGAGGGAGAUUGGAAAUUUCCAAUCAACAACGGAUGUUCUUGAAUCUGAGAAAACUGACAAAGAAAACAACACUUAUAAAAAAUGCUUGAAAUAUAUACACAGUGUUUGCCAACUGCGGAGUGGGAAAAAGGACAUGAAACUCAAACUGCAAUUAAAUGCUUUCACAGAAAGCAACUGCUUACGAAAACUUUCAGAGAAAAUCUCACCGAGAUUCGAUCUUUUGCUCCAAGGGCAAUUAAGAAAUUAUAAUUAAAAAACCACUGGAAGGAGAUGGACAAAGGAGGAAAAAAUUGUAGCCUUGAGGCUAUUUAAAAGGUCACCAACUUGUUACCGCUUGUUGAGGAGAUUAUUUUAUUUACCAUCUCCAGGCACCCUACAACUGAACAGAGUGCCUUUUGCUGUAGGUAUUACCCAGCCAGUACUGGAAGUACUCCAACAAUUUUUAUAAACACAGCAGCCAUCGGACAAUAAUUAUAUUCUAAUGUAAGAUGAAAUAUCAUUAAAGAAACACUUCGAUCAUAACCCAAAGGAAGAUGUCAUUGAUGGAUACCAAGAUCAUGGGGCACAAGGAAUUUCCCCCAAUGUGGCAUCCUAUGCCCUAGUUUUAUGGUUGCUGGCAUAAGGAAAACAGUAAAACAACCGAUCGCACAUUUCUUCUCAAUUGGCUUUUCAACAGCGGACAGGCUUGCAGUGCUUUUCUUUCAGAUCUUACAGCAAUGUUUUGCAUCAGGCAUUAAUAUAAUUAUCUGCCACUGUCUGUGACAUGGAUGGUGUAAAUAGACGAGCACUGUAAAUCUUGGGUGCAACUGUGGAGCGCCCAUACAUAACAGUGCAUAACAAAGAGAUGACAUUGAGUGCACUACUAACAUUUCAUCUGAAGACAAGAAAGGAAAAGGUGUGGCCAAAUGGUCACACAUAAAAGAUUUCUUUGAAAUCGACAACAAACCCCAAAUUUUGUGUUCGCUCCUGCUUUCACAAAGAAAUGCAAAACAAAAAAUGUGCGUCAAACUAGCUGCACAAGUUUUGAGCCACACAGUGGCAGCGGACUUUAUGCAAAGAUAGCUGAUGGCGCGCUCAGUACAGAAGCUGCUGUUACUGCAAAUGUGAUAUCACAUAUGGACAAGCUUUUUGACGCCCUGAAUAGCGACUCAGCAGACUUGCGGCGAGGAAAAAUUUUCUCCACAAACUUGACAGCGAAAAGCCCACACCACAAAUUAUUUCAGAAUAUGAAAUAUUUUUUGAAAACAUUGAAAUUUAUGGGGUCUCUGCGAACACCCCCAUCACAGGAAGGUUGGAUUUGGACCAUUAAUGGCGUCGAGCGGCUGUUUAAGCAAUUCGCUAACGAGGGUAUAAAGAGCCUGGCUACAAGACGGUUACAGCAAGAUCCAUUAGAAAAUUUGUUUGGCUGCAUAAGGGGCAACUGUGGGCACAUAUUGGGACCACAGGAUGAAAUUGUGAAACUGACAAUAGUGUCGUAAUGAAUAACUAUGAGACAUUAUUGUCAGUUUCACAACCCAGAAAUUGCGCAUUUUAAUAAUUAAUUGCGCAGUUAAUAAUUGUGAGAGUUGUUUGCACUAUGCAAAUAAAUUAAAGAUUAAUAAAUUCGACAUUAGAAAAUAGUCACAAACGCGUAAUUUAAAAACAAUUGCAAAGGAAAUGGUGCUCCAAAAUGUAAAUUUUGAUUGCAUAAAAAAUUUUGUGAUGUGAUAAAAAAUGUGAAAAGAUUUUGUAUACUAAAAAACAGAUUGUUUGCAGAUGAAGCAUCGGCAUCUGCGCUCUAACGCAAGAUGAAGAUAAUUAUGCAUAAAUAAUAAUUAUUUUGUUGGUGCUUGCUUCCUCUUGUAAAGACUCAUGAACAAGUUACUGUGGUUUAUGUAAAUUAUUCAUUUGUAGAGAAGAAGUAGCGAAGAAACUUUUCAUUUGAAUUACCUAGGUACGAACAUUACAAAAUUAUGUUGAUUUCGUGUCCAAGCAUCCAUAAAAGUGAAAUAAAUAACAAUUCAAUGAGAAAACGUUUUUGUUUUAUUUCAAGUUCAUUUGUUAAAUAUUAUUAAUAAUUUUCUGGGGAACCUGGA